AAGAACUGCAAUCUUUAUGGCUCGCUGCGAAUGCAAUGCUCUUCCUUCUUCUUGCAAAAUGCAAAGCCUGUAGUUCGUCAAUACCAAUACAAAGUCCUUAGCGUCCGGCGCACCGGGUGCGAAUCGGUUAAAAGCGGUUGAAUUUUGAACAUCACCAAUAACAUGGAAACAGAUGGUGCUUCUUUCAAACGCAGUAGCUUAUGGCACAGCUAUUCAGAAAUCGCUUAUGAAUCAGUUAAAAAGAUUUUCGUUACGAAUCGCUGAGUCAUGGGGCAGCUGGACAUGAAGUCGAUUGCGAAUCGGGUAUGAACCAGUUCUGCGAUCGGUCUGCACCAGCUAAGGGCUGCUCGUGCACUAUGGCCUUUGCAAACGGCCAAGUUGAACGCAAACCCUGGCUAAAACCAACAUUAUUUCCAACCAAAACCGCUGGAGGGUCCCAAAAAAAAAAAAAGAAAAUCGCGCGUCAGCAAUAUCCAGGCGCUACAGAAAUAGCUCUGCGAAUAUGUAUGAAAUAUGUGCGUGCGAACUCAGUGCCUCUCGUGUUUUUUGUCGCCUCGAAUGUGUCGAAAUUAUUUGCGUGCUUGUUGUCCGCCCCCUCACUUCCCCCACUCUCACUGGCCCCCAUAGGACCCGCCAAUUCCCUGGCGGCGGCAACAGAUCUACGUAAUUUUUGUUGUGUUCAGUUCCAUAAAAAUAUAAAUGUGUAAAUGAUCUUUUGUGUGUGCAAAGGUUUUUUCCGCAGCCCACAGCCAUGAAACAAAAUCGAAACCAAAAAUUAUGCUAGACAGUUUUCCAUAUCGUAUAGAUAUGGCGUUUCGUUGGCAAAGAUCUUGGAUUUCCAAGAAAACGUUUAUGUCGCAUAAUGAUGCUAAACAUUGGUAUAUGGAUAACAAAGGCAACAUUUCAUGUUUCAUGAUUAUUCAAUAGCUACUUUCAAUAAUUAUCAAUGAACAACAAAGGAAAAUUGAAAUUUAGCAAUAAAUUUGGGACUUGAUACAUUCAACAAACAACAUAUAACAAUCAGCAUAUAUCAAUUAGUGAUAUACAUAUAUACAUGUGUGACAUGGAACAUUAAACAUGCAACAUUGAAUUUGCAACAUUGAAUAUGCAACAUUGAAUUGGCAACAUUGAAUAUGCAACAUUGAAUGAACAACAUUGAAUGUGCAACAUUGAAUGUGCAACAUUGAAUGUGCAACAUUGAAUUUGCAACAUUGAAAGUGCAACAAUGAAUUUGCAACAUUGAAUUGGCAACAUUGAAUAUGCAACAUUGAGUGUACAACAUUGAAUGUGCAACAUUAAAUUUGCAACAUUGAAAGUGCAACAAUGAAUUUGCAACAUUGAAACAUAGGCAACAUUCAACGCAAAACAUUGAAGACAUCAAAAGUUACUUUGUAUACAUUGUAAUUUACUUAAUUUACAUAAUUAAUGUAAUGUAAAAAAAAUUUCGUCCACCAACACCUACAAUUCCCAAUAAGUUCUGACUCAAUCCUCAUGGGAUAGGCGCUCUGACAGCUCAUAGAUCAGUUGACCGGAAGUUGUGAUGUGGUAGUAUAAGUAGUAGUAUGUGUGUUUGUGUUUGUGUGUGUGAUAGUGGUUCCAGAGGCCAUGUGGACAUCCCGCCGUCGAUCUGGAUGCAGUGCACCAUGGACCGGACCAGGUAUGUUCCACAGAAUUUGAAAUUCGAAUGGAAACUGGAUCUGCACGCUUUGGGCAGGCAAAACCACCUGUCUACUGAAUUCUACUAGUUCGGAAGCCUCAAUUGGAAUUGCAUCAAUUGGAAGACGAUCUCGAGCUGAGUAACUGAGGAACUGAGGAACUGUCUGCUUGAGUGCUUUUCCAUUGCGGAGAGUUUUUCUAUUUCUAUUUGAAUUGGAAUUUGAAAUUUCAUUUUGAAUUUGAUUUUCACUUAAUUCCAUUUGCGAACUGGUUUGUGGCGCCCGAGCAGUUACAACAAUGGAUAUGACAACAAUUAGUUGAUGCCACAUGUCGCCUGGCUCUUUGUUCGUUGUCGCUGUCGUUAUUUGCAAAAUAGAUAUUGCAAAAUGCCCAAAAGCA